UUGCCCCAAGCGCAAAGA
rnacentral:snRNA from 1 species